GACAGAGGGGGCAAGCGUUGCUCGGAAUUACUGGGCGUAAAGGGCGCGUAGGCGGGAUGGCAAGUCGGUCGUGAAAUCCCUCGGCUCAACCGAGGAACGUCGAUCGAUACUGCUGUUCUUGAGGAUUGCAGAGGAGACUGGAAUUCCCGGUGUAGCGGUGAAAUGUGUAGAGAUCGGGAGGAACACCGGUGGCGAAGGCGACUUUCUGGCCUGUUCUUGACGCUGAGGCGCGAAAGCUAGGGGAGCAAACGGG
rnacentral:rRNA from 1 species